rnacentral:tRNA from 2 species
GCGCGUGUAGCUCAGCUGGUUAGAGCGCUCGACUGAUAAUCGUGAGGUCCCAGGUUCGAGUCCUGGCACGCGCA